rnacentral:rRNA from 1 species
CACGUAGGGAGCAAGCGUUGUCCGGAUUUAUUGGGCGUAAAGAGCUCGUAGGUGGUUCGGUAAGUCGGGUGUGAAAACUCUGGGCUCAACUCAGAGACGCCACCCGAUACUGCUGUGACUCGAGUCUGGUAGGGGAGUGUGGAAUUCCCAGUGUAGCGGUGAAAUGCGCAGAUAUUGGGAGGAACACCAGUGGCGAAGGCGGCACUCUGGGCCAGUACUGACACUGAGGAGCGAAAGCGUGGGGAGCAAACAGG